rnacentral:rRNA from 1 species
AGCAGCAGCCGCGGAAUACGGAGGGUGCAAGCGUUAAUCGGAAUUACUGGGCGUAAAGCGCACGCAGGCGGUCUGACAAGUCAGAUGUGAAAUCCCCGGGCUUAACCUGGGAACUGCAUUUGAAACUGUCAGGCUGGAGUCUUGUAGAGGGGGGUGGAAUUCCAGGUGUAGCGGUGAAAUGCGUAGAGAUCUGGAGGAAUACCGGUGGCGAAGGCGGCCCCCUGGACAAAGACUGACGCUCAGGUGCGAAAGCGUGGGGAGCAAACAGGAUUAGAUACCCCGGUAGUCCCUGUCUCUUAUACA